UGCAAGUCGAGCGGGCGUAGCAAUACGUCAGCGGCAGACGGGUGAGUAACGCGUGGGAACGUACCUUUUGGUUCGGAACAACACAGGGAAACUUGUGCUAAUACCGGAUAAGCCCUUACGGGGAAAGAUUUAUCGCCGAAAGAUCGGCCCGCGUCUGAUUAGCUAGUUGGUAGGGUAACGGCCUACCAAGGCGACGAUCAGUAGCUGGUCUGAGAGGAUGAUCAGCCACAUUGGGACUGAGACACGGCCCAAACUCCUACGGGAGGCAGCAGUGGGGAAUAUUGGACAAUGGGGGCAACCCUGAUCCAGCCAUGCCGCGUGAGUGAUGAAGGCCCUAGGGUUGUAAAGCUCUUUUGUGCGGGAAGAUAAUGACGGUACCGCAAGAAUAAGCCCCGGCUAACUUCGUGCCAGCAGCCGCGGUAAUACGAAGGGGGCUAGCGUUGCUCGGAAUCACUGGGCGUAAAGGGUGCGUAGGCGGGUCUUUAAGUCAGGGGUGAAAUCCUGGAGCUCAACUCCAGAACUGCCUUUGAUACUGAAGAUCUUGAGUUCGGGAGAGGUGAGUGGAACUGCGAGUGUAGAGGUGAAAUUCGUAGAUAUUCGCAAGAACACCAGUGGCGAAGGCGGCUCA
rnacentral:rRNA from 1 species